CCAGAAGAAAAAUCGUCCUCCUUCUCCAAUUAAAACUCCAUCUCGGCAUCGCUGCGGACCGUGGGAAGGUCUGAAGGAAAACACGGUGGCCCCGAUAUUCUUCUAACUGAAAAGUGCUACACAGUCUCUUCUAGACGAGAUGUCUGACUAGAAAGGACAGGUGCAAAACCAGAGCAGCAAAUCAGAGUGUGAAACUCAGUGAUGCUACUGCUGUCUCCAGCUGUCCUCCUCUCAGGCUCCCCCACAGGCAGCUAGCUUGGAUAAUGUAUCUCUGGCAGUUAAAAGAACAUAUGUACGUGUAUAUCCCCAGAGCAGACUGCAAACAUGUUUUUAGAAGUACACAAGAAGACAUCUAUUUCAUAGGUCAAACCAAAGGAAUCUGGCUUUUAUUGUUAAAGGACUCGAGGGAACACAUGUAUUGCUGUCAGCUUCUCUCCACACCCACUCUGUGAGAUGACUACAGGAUCAUUUUAAUCAAGAAUGAAGACUACAUAAUUCAAGCAACAGGGUCAAAAGUCUGAUGUCUGCAGGGAAGGUGCAUUGGUUUAACUUCAGUCAGAUUUUAAAUCUUGGCUUUAAGGCUUGGCUAAAUAAUUAGGUCAAACCAGUGCAACGUUCCGUGUAACUAAGGCCUUAAAAAAGGAUUUUAAAGAUAAAUAUCUCAGUUAAUUACUUAAGCUACAGUCUGAAACCUAUUGAAGUCAAUGAGACAGGAGAGCAAGCAGCCAACAAGAUACACUCUGAAGUGUCUUUCUGAAUCAGUAGCUUCAUUCUGCUCUAAGGAACAAACCUCCAUUUCAGCGAAAGUCAUCUUAGGAUCAUGGUGCUUUCUUAGAUCUCUGUCAGCCACAAAGCCUACAAGAGAGAGGACAGUGCUAAGGCCUCGCUGCAGGAGAGUGUUGCAGGAAGCUGGAGAGAGCAGAUUCUCAGCUAUACAUUCCAUUACAAAGGGAGGUUCUUCAGAGCAAGAGGUUCCAUUACAUGUCUACAUGUUGAGGAGAAGACCCUGGCCAGUGGCCGGCCACCCAUUCAGCCACUCCCUCACUCCCCUUCCUCAUGGGGGCAUGCAGGGGCAGAAAAAUGAUGAAAAAGCUUGUGGACAGAGAUAAAGACAGGGAAAUUACUUACUAGUUACUGUCAAGCAAUUACUUACCAAUUUGUCACUUGGAGAAAAUUAAUUUUUUGCCAAUUGAAAGAGCUUUGGUUUUUUUGAGAAACAAAAUCAAAAACUGAAGGCACGUCUUACCCCCACAUCCUUUCCCACUUCAUUCCUGAUUCCUCUUUCAGUGAAUGGGAGGUGUGACGGGUCCACAACAGUUCCUCUCCACCUCUCCUUUCUCCUCACACUGUUCUCUUGCUCCACCAUGGGCCUCUUCAAUGGGCUGCAGAUUCAUGCUCUGUCUUGGAGGACCUCAUUACUCUCCUCUUUCUCUGAACUUGGCCUUCACCCCAUUACUUCAUCCUUUUUUUCCCCUUCCUCUGCCUGCCUAGUGCUUUUGCCCAUUCUUUAAUACAUCUUCCCUGAGACACCAGCAAAAAGCCACGUGGGCUCCUGGAGCUUGGCAGCGUCUGCUAGGAUGGCCACUGGUCCAUCACUGGUCAACAAUGAGUGUUGCGCCAUCACUUGUUGUAUGCUUCUGGUUCUAAUGCAAGGGAGCAGAUUAUAUAUAACAUCACUAUUUCCAACCUCAGAUAUUCAGCAAAUGUAUUUUUUUCCCCAAAUACUUUUCAAUGGCAAAUAUAGAUACCUUUUCAUUUGUAUUUUGACCUCCAAGCCUUGAAUCUUUCUCCAAACACAUAGUCAAGAAACUCAUUUUUCAAAAGUCCUAAGAGUUGAGUUUCUUAUGAGAGUCUGGUCCACUUCAAGGAGAGAAACCUCAGUUUAUGAAAAAUAAUAUUACAACUGUUGUGCUGGCUGAUGUCCUCUACUUUUACAAGAGAACAAUAGAAAAUCAAUUACACUGACAAACCCCCCUUGUGGGGUGAAACUGUGUAGGCUUUCCCAACAGACAUAACAGAUGUUUCUUGAAGAGUGAUUUCUGAAGGAGAGAAAACAAACACUGGAUACUUUCUGGGGAUACUGUAGAAGGAGGGGACUUCACUACUUUCAACAAGUCACAAGUACAGAUUCCCAACAGAGGCACAAACCAACUUUUUCAUUCAAAUAACAGUUAUUUGAGACCGUGAUGAAACACGAGAGGACUGUGGACCGUGCCAGUGAGAAUAAAGAAAUAAAAAACAGUGCCAUCUUGUGGUUAACGUGAUUAAUCCCUGAUCCUAAGCCAAAGGCCUACAGUACUCUGAAUGCUCCCAAGAGGAAAGAGGAAAAUCUUUUGCACUAAGAAAAAAGUACCGGUAACUUCUGGCCAAACGAUAAGUAACCUUAUUUCAGUUCAGAAUCCUGUCUUGAAUAUGCAGACUUUGGUUUUAUCAUAUGACUGAAACAAAUACCUCUUCCUUUUAUAAUUGCACGUGUUAUAAAAGAGUGGCAUAUUGUUUUUAUUGGACUAAUUCUCGCUCCACUACUACUGAAGAGAUUUGAGAGCUCAUAUAUUCAUCAUCCGUCGAAGUAAUCUCCAUGGUAUCUUAGAUUCAGACAAA
ensembl:lncRNA